rnacentral:rRNA from 1 species
AACGAACGCUGGCGGCAGGCUUAACACAUGCAAGUCGAGCGCCCCGCCAGGGGAGCGGCAGACGGGUGAGUAACGCGUGGGAACGUAACUUUUGGUUCGGAACAACUCUGGGAGACUGGAGCUAAUACCGGAUAAGCGCUAACGGGGAAAGAUUUAUCGCCGAAAGAUCGGCCCGCGUCUGAUUAGCUAGUUGGUGAGGUAACGGCUCACCAAGGCGACGAUCAGUAGCUGGUCUGAGAGGAUGAUCAGCCACACUGGGACUGAGACACGGCCCAGACUCCUACGGGAGGCAGCAGUGGGGAAUAUUGGACAAUGGGCGCAAGCCUGAUCCAGCCAUGCCGCGUGAGUGAUGAAGGCCUUAGGGUUGUAAAGCUCUUUUGUCCGGGAAGAUAAUGACUGUACCGGAAGAAUAAGCCCCGGCUAACUUCGUG